AUGCUUUGUCCGGAGCAGCUGAGGGUGGUCACACAGAAAUUGUUAAGAUACUUCUGGAUAAGGGAGCCGACGUAAAUGAGUCAUAUGCUUUGUCCAGAGCAGCUAGAGGGGGUCACAUAGAAAUUGUUAAGAUACUCCUGGAUAAGGGAGCCGACGUAAAUGAGUCAGAUGCUUUGUCCGAAGCAGCUAGAUGGGGUCACACAGAAAUUGUUGAUAUACUCCUGGAUAAGGGAGCCGACGUAAAUAAGGUUGG